rnacentral:siRNA from 1 species
GAAAGAGGCAUUUGCAGCCUGUGU